UCUUGGUUGAGGUCUCAAGGAGGUUGAAAUUUGCUUGUAUCACUGCAGUUUGAUUUCUUUUGCCUUCGUUUACAUUCUGGUAUCUUCUGCGUUCUUGUGGACUAUUUGAUCGAGCUUCUAGGGGUCUCCUCUCACUAUGUCUGGGUUUGUCUCGAUCUUCUUAGGCAUUCUCUGAUUCGCAUUACCCUUUUGCUACAUUGAUACCAGAGGAUAAUGUUGCUCAAAGUGUCUUAUCCAGGCUACUUUUUCUGCACCAUCAACAACUUGCUUCUUUAUAUGUCCACUGUAGAAACAUUGCACUAAAUUAAUUGUCUCUCUUCUUUCAUAAUUCACUGUUUAAUCUCAUCUUCUUGUUUUGUUCACAAACCUUCAUAUGAUCACAGGAGCACUUAACACCCGCUGAUUAUGUGAAGAUUCCAACUGACUUUGCCAACUAUUUAAAAGGUUGUAGGUUUCUCCCAAAAUUAAACAAUGAAUGUGUGCAUCGCAGAUACUCAAUCUAGAAGGAAAGAUUAGCUAGCUUGCAGAACCUACUCCUUAAUAUGUUUGAACAGGACACUGUGUUGAUACCAAAGAAAACAUCCUGGUUAGGAUACUAUCCAGAUGGAACUUUUGAUUCUGUUUUGCCUGCACAGGAGUUAAUUGUUGUGUUCUGGGACACGUAAUUAAUAUUCAAUAGUUUGUCAUCGAUUUAUGAUUUGUUGGUUUUAUCCCUCAUCAAGAAAUCUUUCAAAUCUUGAUGGAAAUGAGCUUAAAGUUUCAAAGAACCUUGGCAGUAGUCAGUGUCAUGAAUCACCAAUGCUCUCGAAGCAGAAGCUAUGUAAUUUAUGGGUGAUAGUGAUGGUCACUGAAAAUCAGUGGUGAAGUAUUUAUGCUAGAUCAGGGUAGAAUCUCCUUGUGGUUCACUCUUCUGAGAAUUUGUUCCUGCACUCAAACCAAAUCAAUAAUUAAGGAUUCACUCGACGACUUGCACGCGCAUAGCUAUAUGAAAAACCAGGGGUCUGGAAUUUAUAGAAUUUCUGGAACAUUGAUGUUGAUUUGGUAUUUAACUGUUUUUUUUUUUUUUGGGACCUUGUACGGUCAAAUAAGAAAUACAACAGAGAUCGAGUUGAAACAUUUUAUGAGGCGCAUUUAUAUGAUGAUUAACCAUGUUUAAAGUACUACUGAGGAUUAUGAAAUCAUUAUGUUUACCGAGCUCUUCCUUUACAAUCUUAUGGUGUAGGAGAUGUAUAUCCAAGACGUGGUCCGCGAUUGCAUUUUGUUAGUGAUUUCUGAUUUUCUUUUGAUCAUUGAGCAUUCGUUUUUGGAAAGUUGAUGAUCAAAGGAAAAUUGAAUUUACAUAAGAGAAAUGGACAAAACAGAAUUGAUGAAAAAACAUAUUGUGGGAUGGUGUUGUCGUUGUGGUAUAAUCUCUUCAUAACAUGCUUUUAUCCUUACUCAAUGCGACGGUUUGCAUCCUUUCACCAUUAGUCCAAUCGGAGGGAAACAAAAAAGGAGCAGUGCAUCUUUCCUGAAGACCGAGCUUUACAUCGAGGACUGCAUUGAAUUGAAGACCUUGAAUGAAGCUGGGAAAGUCCAAUUCAUCAACAUAUCUUGGAAUUAUCUCUAGACUUCUCUCGCCGACAUACAAAAAUAUAUAGUACCUUACUUGGCAGAUGAUGCACCUUUAGCGAAGAACGUGACAACAGGAACGGCUUCUAGCAGUUGGACCCCACGGGUUCAGGGUUUGUAUACAAGAAAUGUUAGGCUGUGUGAGGAACGGCCACUACUCUCUGUGCGUUAGCGAGUGCGCAUGUAUUCCACGAAUGAAUAUGAAAGAAAAAUGAAAUGAUUGUUGU